AGUAACGCGUGGGUAACCUGCCUUGUACUGGGGGACAACAGUUAGAAAUGACUGCUAAUACCGCAUAAGCGCACGGCAUCGCAUGAUGCAGUGUGAAAAACUCCGGUGGUGUGAGAUGGAUCCGCGUCUGAUUAGGUAGUUGGUGGGGUAACGGCCCACCAAGCCGACGAUCAGUAGCCGACCUGAGAGGGUGACCGGCCACAUUGGGACUGAGACACGGCCCAA
rnacentral:rRNA from 1 species